GACGAACGCUGGCGGCGUGCUUAACACAUGCAAGUCGAACGGUGAAGCGCCUUCCUUUUUGGUGGGUGUGGAUGAGUGGCGAACGGGUGAGUAACGCGUGAGUAACCUGCCCCCUUCUUCUGGAUAACCGCAUGAAAGUGUGGCUAAUACGGGAUAUUCUGGGUCUGUCGCAUGAUGGGUCUGGGAAAGAUAUUGUUUCGGUGGGGGAUGGGCUCGCGGCCUAUCAGCUUGUUGGUGGGGUGAUGGCCUACCAAGGCGGUGACGGGUAGCCGGCCUGAGAGGGUGGACGGUCACACUGGGACUGAGACACGGCCCAGACUCCUACGGGAGGCAGCAGUGGGGAAUAUUGCACAAUGGGCGCAAGCCUGAUGCAGCGACGCCGCGUGAGGGAUGGAGGCCUUCGGGUUGUGAACCUCUUUCGCCAGUGAAGCAGGCCUGCCUCGUUUGUGGGUGGGUUGACGGUAGCUGGAUAAGAAGCGCCGGCUAACUACGUA
rnacentral:rRNA from 1 species